rnacentral:rRNA from 1 species
GAUGAACGCUGGCGGCGUGCCUAAUACAUGCAAGUAGAACGCUGAAGGAGGAGCUUGCUCUUCUGGAUGAGUUGCGAACGGGUGAGUAACGCGUAGGUAACCUGCCUGGUAGCGGGGGAUAACUAUUGGAAACGAUAGCUAAUACCGCAUGACAACAGUUAUUGCAUGAUAACUGUUUAAAAGGGGCAACUGCUCCACUACCAGAUGGACCUGCGUUGUAUUAGCUAGUUGGUGAGGUAACGGCUCACCAAGGCGACGAUACAUAGCCGACCUGAGAGGGUGAGCGGCCACACUGGGACUGAGACACGGCCCAGACUCCUACGGGAGGCAGCAGUAGGGAAUCUUCGGCAAUGGACGGAAGUCUGACCGAGCAACGCCGCGUGAGUGAAGAAGGUUUUCGGAUCGUAAAGCUCUGUUGUAAGAGAAGAACGAGUGUGAGAGUGGAAAGUUCACACUGUGACGGUAUCUUACCAGAAAGGGACGGCUAACUACGUG